CUUCAUUCCAGACUCUUGGGACAAUCCUUGAGGACAAUGAAGCAGACCAGCUCCCUGUCCUGAGAGAGAGUUUAUGUUCUGGGAACAAAUGGCAAGGAGUACCAGUGAGCCCCAGGUGGAAAGAGCAGAGAUUGAAAAUGACAGUGCCCCAAAGCAUGAAUGAGAACAACAUCUCAAGCCAGGCGAGGUGGCGCACACCUGUGAUCCCAGCACUCUGGGAGGCGGAGGCCAGCCUGGUCUACAAGAGAAGACAGCCUCGGGGGAACCAGUGACGGCCUAUGGGAUACAGAUGCUCCUGUCUCUGCGGCACUGGGAGUCACGGGGAGAACCUUGGGAAUCAUGUUCCUGCUGACGGCAAGGGAUACACCCUGUGAGCUCAGUGUCAGCUCCUGAAGCACCUGCCUGACUCUGAACUAGGGACAACAAGAGUGAUGUGUGCAGCCACGAAAUACCAGCACUACUUCCUCCCUGGCUCAUCACUUGGAACCAUUCAAACAUGGCCCCACCCAACCCCAGGAAGGGGAGGGGUGGUAUUCAGGCAUGUUCUGAGACCUCCUGACAUAUUUUCCAGCCCAAGCCUUCCAGGGCAACAACAGCAUGCUGCCAGCUUUCUCUCUGUCCUCCUCGAGGGGGUCGGUGCACUUCUGCUGUGGUAGCGGGGCAAAGCUGGAGAUUGGGGAUUUCUGUGUGACUAUUCUUGCUGGCAUCAGAGCACCACUGCCAAACACUUACCUCUUCCCGCCUCCCAUCCCUACCCCCCUUUCCUGCCAAUCUCCACCCCUCCACCUCAAUGGACAUUGAACCAUGGCUCAUCGCAUUAGGAUGGAGGCAUAGAGUCUCACAAACACCUCACGCCCUGACAACCUGAAGACAGCCCAGAAGCAUGCUUGGGAUGCGGGAUAAGGGCUCCUUGAGGGGCGGCUGGCCAGCCCGUUUCAACCCAGAGAAGAAAAAUAGAACUGAGUCCUCUGUAGCACAAGAGAGUAACGCUCACCAGCUGCCCCGCCUCCCUCCCUGGCUUGCCUGGUUCGGUCAAACCAUUUCAAGGGAACGCCAACAACUGCCUUCCACUGCGACAGCACUGCUCCUGGAGCCUUCUAGUGGCAAGAAGACAGUGAAUCCACUCGCUGUAACACGCACUGGUUCUGUCCUCCAGUCCUUCUGGAUUUCAGUUAUGCUUCUCUGUGAAGUCACGGACAGAGCCUCUUGAGGAGGCUGGUCACAGGGAGAAGACUGGCGUGGCAGAGAGAGCAUAGAACCCAGAACCUGGAACUUAACUGUGAGAGUCCGCUCACAUCUGGA